rnacentral:rRNA from 1 species
AUGCAUGUCUAAGUACACGCCUUUACACGGCUAAACUGCGAAUGGCUCAUUAAAUCAGUUAUGGUUCCUUAGAUCGUACAAUCCUACUUGGAUAACUGUGGCAAUUCUAGAGCUAAUACAUGCAACACAGCUCCGACCCUUGCGGGGAAGAGCGCUUUUGUUAGUCCAAAACCAACGCGGCGGUCGCUCACGCGGCCGUCGCUUCAACAUGGUGACUCUGAACAACUUUGUGCCGAUCGCACGGCCUUUGCGCCGGCGACGAAUCUUUCAAGUGUCUGCCCUAUCAACUUUCGAUGGUACGCGCUAUGCCUACCAUGGUGAUAACGGGUAACGGGGAAUCA